UGUAGACUGAUCUAACACACUUCUGUUCACUCAAUUUUGUGAUAAUACUUUAUUGAAAAAUAAAUGCACCUAAAACAACCCGCAUCUUUAAAUACGCUAUAACAUUUGUUGAGAUGGUUGAGAUGAGGAGUAUGAACAUGAUAUGGUUCCAAGCUACAAGAUGAUAAAUGUUUUAAUCCAAAUUUUCAGAGAAGUUCCUCAUCACGUCAACGGAGAUAUAGAAAAUAAACAUAACAUCUAACAACCCCUUGCCAUAUAUAGUGAUGGAAAAUCGUCCGUUAAAAUUAUUAUAAAACAUUUAUUUGCCUAGAAAUUUUAUCCAAACUGUUUUUCACUCUUAUGCAUUGUUAUUAACAUCUCUUGGAACUAAAAAUAUUCGGUUCCAACUAGAGAUAUCGGCGUUCAAGGAUUCAUUCUUCACGACUUCCAAGAAUGCUUUGAUGGUAUUAUAGGGAUUAAGAAUUUAAUUGUAAUGAACCCUGAUAUUGAAUUGAAAAAUAAAAAAAUUAUUAGUGAUCAUGUGAGUGAAUAAAAUUCGGGCAACCUACUGAUAUAAAAUUCAAAAUUACGCUAGUCCAUAUUUAAAGAAUGGUGAAUCAAGUACCAGUCACUGUAAAAGACGGUGAAAUAUUAAUAAUAUAAAUAUAAUAAGUAAAAUAUUAUUAGGUGAUAUAUUUCUACCAGAAAUGUUAACCGUAGCAAAUAACGGAUUAGAUUUUGUAGAAUUUAUUAAUAAAAGGAAUAGAAGUAUUUCUAUAAUCCUAUCGAGACCACUAAAUAAUAUUCCAUAUAACUCAGAAAUUUAUGAUGUUUACAAAUUCGAUUAUUUUACAAAUCAGAUGAAAAUCGAAAACAAGAAGAAACAGAUUCAUAAACUGAUUAGAACUGAUCACAUGAAUCCAGAAAAGAAGAAAAAUAUUGUUAAAAUAUAUGUUUUUCUUAAGGCAGAUGAUCCGCUCACUUUACCUCUAAUGUGAGACAUUGUAUCAAAACUAUGGUGAAAGCUCCAGUUCAUGUGAAAUCGUACAGGUACCUCUAUGAAUUUGAGGAAGAAGUACGCGACAAAUAGACGACAUGCUAGAAAAAAGGAUCAUUAGGUCUUCGACCAGCCCCUGGUCUUCUAGAAUUUGGAUCGUACCAAAAAAGUUGGACGCAUCCAGACAACAGAAGUGGUGUCUGGUUGUAGACUACAGAAAAUUAAACGAAAGACUAUUGUUGAUCGGUAUCCAUUACCCAACAUAAACGAAAUACUUUAUAAAUUAGAUCGGCCGCAAUAUUUUAGCGCGUUAGAUCUUCUCAAUGGAUUCUAUUAAAUCGCGCUAAGUAAAGACUCUAUAGAAAAAACCGCCUUCAAUGUAGAUAAUAGCGAUUUUGAAUUCUUGAAAAUGCCAAUGGGUUUGAGAAACUCACCCAGCACUUUCCAAUGAUCUAUGGACGAAGUUUUAAAGGACCUUCAGAAUAAAGUCUGCCUCGGAUAUAUGGUCGACAAAAUUAUCUAUCAGGACUUCAGGAACAUGAGAAACCUGAGAUGAAUUUCGUGGGCAUAUCGUUACCCUACUAGUUGGUAUAAACCCAAAUCCGAAAAAAGUUCAUGCUAUACGAAAUUGUCCAAUUUCUCGACACAAAAAAAACGUUUUGGACUCCUAGGCUACUACAUAAAAUAUAUACAAAAUUUUACGAUAAUCUAAAACUUUUACAAAUUGCUUGAAAAAAUACAAAAAGGUUGAGUAUACGCGCGAGCUUGACAACCAGGACUAGAAAUUCCGCUGAAAUUAAUUAUUCUACAAUAGAGAAAGAGCUUCUCAUGAUAGUUUGCGAAAAUUAUCCAAAAUGAACUCGAUAGAAUUGGCCAAUUGCCAAACUUAUCAACGACCGAUAUUAAUUCUUCACCAAACUUAUCAACAAAUGACAUUGACAAAGUUCUAAAUGAACAAAAACAAAUAUAAAUCUUACAGAACAUUUAAAAUCAACUCCCUUUAGUAGAGACACGACCAAGUAACGACCUAGAAACUGUACAUACAGCCGAGAAUCCAAUAAAUUACUUAACUGUUACUGAAAAACCGAUUAAUUAAGACAAAAACAAAUUAUUUUAACCUGCGGCGAAAUAAAUGAUACAAUUUGCAAACGUGCAAAAAUAUUUAACAAUAUCCGAUUAAAUGUAAAAUUGGCAACUAGAAACCUAGAAAAUGCUAUAUUCAAAUUUACUAGAGAAUAUUUGAAUCAUCAAAUUACAUAAACUUCAUAUUUCAAGAAUCCUCUUGUACCUGAAAUAACUACUUUACAGAAAUAUUUCCAAAACUCGACGUUUAAAAUUCACUGUACUAAAUUCCAUAAAGUCAUCAUUAUAACCGAAGAACAACUGGAGAAAUUAAAAUACUAUCACAUAUAUAAAAAGGGAUAUCGCGGCAUCACCGAAUUAAAAUCGUCAUUAAAAUAGAAUUUAAUACUGGACAAAGAUGUCAUAAGACAUAAGAAAAAUUUGUGAAUAAUUGCGAGACGUAGGAAAGGAACGAAUAUGACAGAAGCUCUUCAAUUGUGAAGUUUAGUUUGACUCCUACAGCUCCAAAUGGCCUAUCAUAUCCAGACAGUUAGCAGCAUAUCUGUCGUAAAUGAAUUGUUAAGUUUCAUAACUCAUUACGGUUUACUCCAUGAAAUCAUAUCUGAUUUCAUUUCAGAAUUUAAAGAUAUCACACAAUAGAGCUCCCUAUCACCACAUCCAAAAACAUACUCAAAUUCAAGGUAGAACGAUUCCAUUCAAGUCUGAUAGAAUAUUUCAUAUGUUUAAGAGGUCAAGGUAAGGAACUGAAUCCUGUUCAAAUAAUAAAACACUCUAUUUUGGCUUAUGAAAACUCCAUACACUUGAUCACAAAAGUCAGCCCUCUUUGAAAUAAUAAAAGGCUACAUCAAUAGCAUUGAUCCGUUUGAUCUUGACGACCAUCUAAUUAUAUCAUAUUAUAAUCAAUCCAUAACCGAACAAAUGGCCAACAAGGAAGUAUAAUAAUAACAGAGUUUUUGAGUCCACUAAUUAGAAUACCAAAUCGAUGCGAAAUUUCAAUAAAAGAUGAAAAGUAUUAUAUGAAAAGCGAUAUCAAUUAGGCACAACCAUUGCUUCUAC